CCUACGGGAGGCAGCAGUGGGGAAUAUUGCACAAUGGGGGAAACCCUGAUGCAGCAACGCCGCGUGAGUGAAGAAGUUUUCCGAUAUGUAAAGCUCUAUCAGCCGGGAAGAAGAUGACGGUACCUGAGUAAGAAGCCCCGGCUAAAUACGUGCCAGCAGCCGGGGUAAUACGUAGGGGGCAAGCGUUAUCCGGAUUUACUGGGUGUAAAGGGAGCGUAGGCGGCACAGCAAGUCUGAAGUGAAAGCCCAAGGCUCAACCAUGGGACUGCUUUUGAAACUGUUAGGCUGGAGUCCUGGAGAGGUAAGCGGAAUGCGUAGUGUAGCGGUGAAAUGCGUAGAUAUUAGGAAGAACACCGGUGGCGAAGGCAGCUUACUGGACGGUAUCUGACGUUGAGGCUCGAAAGCGUGGGGAGCAAACAGGAUUAGAUACCCUUGUAGUC
rnacentral:rRNA from 1 species